CAUUAAGAAGCUAUGCAGCCUUAACCUUUUAAGUUAAAGACCGAGAGUGCUCAAUCUCUCCUUAAUGG
rnacentral:tRNA from 1 species